GUGGGGUUCGCGCACAGAGCUGCUCCUAUGUUUGUCCGCACACCGCAACUUGUCUUAGCAUAGCAUCAAAAAAGUCCACACACACACACAGUACGACAUGUCAGGUUGUUGGGUGAAGGGCGCUCCUAAUCGCGAGAAGUAGAGGCUCUCAAUUAGCUAUCCC
ensembl:ncRNA F59C12.10 ncRNA